AACCUGUCCAGAGAAAGAAGGAGACUUCACAACUUCUCUGUGCAACCUGUGCCAGUGCUCUGUCACCCUCGCAGUAAAGAAGCUUUUCUUCAUAUUCAGAUGGGAAUUUCUGUGUUUCAUUUUGUGCCCGUUGCUUCUCAUCCUACCACCGGGUACCACUGAAAAGAGACUGACCCCAUCCUCUUAACACACUCCCUUCAGAUGUUUAUACACAUUGAUAAGAUUUCUUCUCACUCCU